UCUGGCGGUACUCACGGCAUCUGUAGCAGCGGUGGGUGUACCAAUAUGGCAGCCGUGCCCGGCUGUCGGCGGUUGCUAUGGCUACCGCUCGCGGGAACUCCCAGUCAGUCAGAGUCAGCGGCGGCGUUCAGCCGCGAAGUGUGAGGCAGCCUCCUCUGUCUGAGUCUCAGGCACUGCAGGAGCUAUGUUUCCCGAACGUUCUCCAGUCAGUACCUGGGUUCCUAUGAGCAGCAGAUGUAUUCGUACUUCCUUCAGUUGCUGGAAAGAAUGCAGCCCACACAUGUAAAACAAUAAGAUGCUGCAAGACACAAAUGGGUGCAAGUGUCCGCUUUUAACACAUCUGUAUACGGGCAAGAGGGCAAAUCUGAAAGUUCUGGAAUAUGGCAGAACAGACAAAGGAAGAUCCAGCAAUAUUAAUUUGGAGUACGACGUGUGAAGUUAUAAUUCCUGAAAUGAUUCCUGUUGCCAGUAAGAAAAAAAUAUGCACAGGCGACAUAUAUAGUAUCACUGAGAGGUGUAAAGUUCUCCUGACCAUGACAUAAGAUACAGUUAUAAACAGAUUGUUUUGUGUUAGGAGAUUGAAUUUCAUGAAACAUAUAUCCACAUACACAGCCUUCUUCAAAUACCCACAGGUCAAUGCAUAAAGUUUCCUAUACAGCGCAAUGUUUGAAUAUUAAAAUGUUGUAAUAUUAGGCUAAUUACAGCUGCCGAUUCCUAUAAAUACUUCUAGCAAAAUCCUCUGCAGAACGCUAGCUCCUAUUUUUAGCCUGCAUGCUUGUCGUCAUGAAAAAUGGGUAAAUUGGAGAUGUUGUUUCCAAACUGAACAUUUCCCUUCCUUUGGUUUCAAUUAACAGUUUAGUGUUUGCAGCCUUUGGGUAUUGUAAGGAAUCAUCGGUGGUGGUUGGAAAGUGUGUUUUUUAUUGCUAGGAUGUGUGGCCUCUUGUCAUCUUCUGUUAGUGCUAUAGCCUGUGACGUACCACAGUAAUAGCACAGCUUUAUACAACAUGCCUUAGACUUUUCAGUACACAAAUUAUUAAAG